AGUUUCAUAAUGCUCCAACAGUCAAGCAACUGGACAUAUGGAUACAUCCUCAUGCAAUACAGGAUGGCAGUGAUACAUAAUGCCUAGUACAUGCAAAUCUCCAACUUGAAAGGAAUUCAAAAAGGUGACGUUAUUUUGAAGCCUGGAGAACACUAAUUAACUAACACAAAGAAAUGGUGGCAUCUUCAGUUGCUAGACAACAAACUUCAAAUCAUCAAGAGCU